UACAGAGGGUGCAAGCGUUAAUCGGAAUUACUGGGCGUAAAGCGUGCGUAGACGGUCAUGUAAGUCGGGUGUGAAAGCCCCGGGCUCAACCUGGGAAUUGCAUUCGAGACUGCAUGGCUAGGAUGCGGAAGAGGGAAGCGGAAUUUCCGGUGUAGCGGUGAAAUGCGUAGAUAUCGGAAGGAACACCAGUGGCGAAAGCGGCUUCCUGGUCCAGCAUCGACGUUCAGGCACGAAAGCGUGGGGAGCGAACAGG
rnacentral:rRNA from 1 species